rnacentral:rRNA from 1 species
UACGAAUGUGGCGAGCGUUGUUCGGAAUCACUGGGCGUAAAGAGUACGUAGGCGGCUUGAUAAGUCAGGAGUGAAAUCCCAGGGCUCAACCCUGGAAUUGCUUUUGAAACUAUCUCGCUAGAAACACGGAGAGGUUGGCGGAAUUCCAAGUGUAGAGGUGAAAUUCGCAGAUAUUUGGAGGAACACCAGUGGCGUAAGCGGCCAACUGGACGUGUAUUGACGCUGAGGUACGAAAGCGUGGGGAUCAAACAGGAUUAGAUACCCUGGUAGUCCACGCCAUAAACGAUGUGUGCUAGUUGCUGGGUAGCUUAGCUAUUCGGUGACGCAGCUAACGCAUUAAGCACACCGCCUGGGAAGUACGGCCGCAAGGUUAAA